rnacentral:rRNA from 1 species
UACGGGGGGGGGCAAGCGUUGUUCGGAAUUACUGGGCGUAAAGGGCGCGUAGGCGGUCUACUAAGUUGGAUGUGAAAACUCUGGGCUUAACCCAGAGCCUGCAUUCAAAACUGAUAGGCUGGAGUUCUGGAGGGGAUAGCGGAAUUCCUGGUGUAGCGGUGAAAUGCGUAGAUAUCAGGAGGAACACCGGUGGCGAAGGCGGCUAUCUGGACAGAAACUGACGCUGAGGCGCGAAAGCUAGGGAGCAAACAGG